rnacentral:rRNA from 1 species
UUAAGCGACUAAGCGUACACGGUGGAUGCCCUGGCAGUCAGAGGCGAUGAAGGACGUGCUAAUCUGCGAAAAGCGCCGGCGAGGUGAUAUGAACCUUUGACCCGGCGAUGUCCGAAUGGGGAAACCCAGUGCAAUCCGUUGCACUAUCGUUAACUGAAUACAUAGGUUAACGAGGCGAACCGGGGGAACUGAAACAUCUAAGUACCCCGAGGAAAAGAAAUCAACCGAGAUUCCCCCAGUAGCGGCGAGCGAACGGGGAGCAGCCCGGAGUCUGAAUCAGCUUGUGUGUUAGUGGAACGGUCUGGAAAGUCCGACGGUACAGGGUGAUAGUCCCGUACACGAAAGCACAUAUGCUGUGAACUCGAAGAGUAGGGCGGGACACGUGGUAUCCUGUCUGAAUAUGGGGGGACCAUCCUCCAAGGCUAAAUACUCCUGACUGACCGAUAGUGAACCAGUACCGUGAGGGAAAGGCGAAAAGAACCCCGGCGAGGGGAGUGAAAAAGAACCUGAAACCGUGUACGUACAAGCAGUGGGAGCCUCUUUAUGGGGUGACUGCGUACCUUUUGUAUAAUGGGUCAGCGACUUAUAUUCUGUAGCAAGGUUAACCGUAUAGGGGAGCCGAAGGGAAACCGAGUCUUAACUGGGCGUUAAGUUGCAGGGUAUAGACCCGAAACCCGGUGAUCUAGCCAUGGGCAGGUUGAAGGUUGGGUAACACUAACUGGAGGACCGAACCGACUAAUGUUGAAAAAUUAGCGGAUGACCUGUGGCUGGGGGUGAAAGGCCAAUCAAACCGGGAGAUAGCUGGUUCUCCCCGAAAGCUAUUUAGGUAGCGCCUCGUGAACUCAUCUUCGGGGGUAGAGCACUGUUUCGGCUAGGGGGCCAUCCCGGCUUACCAACCCGAUGCAAACUACGAAUACCGAAGAAUGUUAUCACGGGAGACACACGGCGGGUGCUAACGUCCGUCGUGAAGAGGGAAACAACCCAGACCGCCAGCUAAGGUCCCAAAGUCAUGGUUAAGUGGGAAACGAUGUGGGAAGGCACAGACAGCCAGGAUGUUGGCUUAGAAGCAGCCAUCAUUUAAAGAAAGCGUAAUAGCUCACUGGUCGAGUCGGCCUGCGCGGAAGAUGUAACGGGGCUAAACCAUGCACCGAAGCUGCGGCAGCGACACUAUGUGUUGUUGGGUAGGGGAGCGUUCUGUAAGCCGUUGAAGGUGUGCUGUGAGGCAUGCUGGAGGUAUCAGAAGUGCGAAUGCUGACAUAAGUAACGAUAAAGCGGGUGAAAAGCCCGCUCGCCGGAAGACCAAGGGUUCCUGUCCAACGUUAAUCGGGGCAGGGUGAGUCGACCCCUAAGGCGAGGCCGAAAGGCGUAGUCGAUGGGAAACAGGUUAAUAUUCCUGUACUUGGUGUUACUGCGAAGGGGGGACGGAGAAGGCUAUGUCAGCCGGGCGACGGUUGUCCCGGUUUAAGCAUGUAGGCGGAGGUUCCAGGUAAAUCCGGUACCUUGUUAACGCUGAGGUGUGAUGACGAGGCACUACGGUGCUGAAGUGAUAAAUGCCCUGCUUCCAGGAAAAGCCUCUAAGCAUCAGGUAACACGAAAUCGUACCCCAAACCGACACAGGUGGUCAGGUAGAGAAUACCAAGGCGCUUGAGAGAACUCGGGUGAAGGAACUAGGCAAAAUGGUGCCGUAACUUCGGGAGAAGGCACGCUGAUAUGUAGGUGAAGCCCCUGCGGGCGGAGCUGAAAUCAGUCGAAGAUACCAGCUGGCUGCAACUGUUUAUUAAAAACACAGCACUGUGCAAACACGAAAGUGGACGUAUACGGUGUGACGCCUGCCCGGUGCCGGAAGGUUAAUUGAUGGGGUUAGCGGCAACGCGAAGCUCUUGAUCGAAGCCCCGGUAAACGGCGGCCGUAACUAUAACGGUCCUAAGGUAGCGAAAUUCCUUGUCGGGUAAGUUCCGACCUGCACGAAUGGCGUAAUGAUGGCCAGGCUGUCUCCACCCGAGACUCAGUGAAAUUGAACUCGCUGUGAAGAUGCAGUGUACCCGCGGCAAGACGGAAAGACCCCGUGAACCUUUACUAUAGCUUGACACUGAACACUGGUCCUUGAUGUGUAGGAUAGGUGGGAGGCUUUGAAGCGUGGACGCCAGUCUGCGUGGAGCCAACCUUGAAAUACCACCCUUUAAUGGCUGGUGUUCUAACGUAGACCCGUAAUCCGGGUUGCGGACAGUGUCUGGUGGGUAGUUUGACUGGGGCGGUCUCCUCCCAAAGAGUAACGGAGGAGCACGAAGGUUGGCUAAUCCUGGUCGGACAUCAGGAGGUUAGUGCAAUGGCAUAAGCCAGCUUGACUGCGAGCGUGACGGCGCGAGCAGGUGCGAAAGCAGGUCAUAGUGAUCCGGUGGUUCUGAAUGGAAGGGCCAUCGCUCAACGGAUAAAAGGUACUCCGGGGAUAACAGGCUGAUACCGCCCAAGAGUUCAUAUCGACGGCGGUGUUUGGCACCUCGAUGUCGGCUCAUCACAUCCUGGGGCUGAAGUAGGUCCCAAGGGUAUGGCUGUUCGCCAUUUAAAGUGGUACGCGAGCUGGGUUUAGAACGUCGUGAGACAGUUCGGUCCCUAUCUGCCGUGGGCGCUGGAGAAUUGAGGGGGGCUGCUCCUAGUACGAGAGGACCGGAGUGGACGCAUCACUGGUGUUCGGGUUGUCAUGCCAAUGGCACUGCCCGGUAGCUAAAUGCGGAAGAGAUAAGUGCUGAAAGCAUCUAAGCACGAAACUUGCCCCGAGAUGAGUUCUCCCUGAGACUUUAAGUCUCCUGAAGGAACGUUGAAGACGACGACGUUGAUAGGUCGGGUGUGUAAGCGCAGCGAUGCGUUGAGCUAACCGAUACUAAUGAACCGUGAGGCUUAACCUU